rnacentral:rRNA from 1 species
UACGGAGGAUCCAAGCGUUAUCCGGAUUUAUUGGGUUUAAAGGGUGCGUAGGCGGAAUAGUAAGUCAGUGGUGAAAUCCUGCAGCUUAACUGUAGAAUUGCCAUUGAUACUGCUAAUCUUGAGUAUAUUUGAAGUGGGCGGAAUGUGUCGUGUAGCGGUGAAAUGCUUAGAUAUGACACAGAACACCAAUUGCGAAGGCAGCUCACUAAACUAUAACUGACGCUGAGGCACGAAAGCGUGGGGAUCAAACAGG